rnacentral:lncRNA from 1 species
AGACGGACUUCCCAAGCAACCGGACCCCUAUCGGUCUUCACCAACAGAAAAUCUCCAUCCGAGCUUCUACAGCAGAUGACUUUCACCUGUAACAUCAGCACCUAAGGCAUCCGACAAUAGUGGACUCGUCAGCAGCCUCGAAAAUAUCCGAGCUUCUCCUAGAUCGGCAGUAUAGAGAGCCAUCCCUCUCCAUCAGACAUCCCAGCCGAGCUCCAGUCGAUAGAUCCGAACUCUCCGGCAAGUCACGAUAAUGGCACCACCCUGCUCCACUCUCUGCAAUAGAUUUCACAUGAUUCCAUUACUCUCUAGCAAGUCACGACAACGGACACCACU